CCAGUAGUGCAAUUCAAAUCAUGUAUUACACUGCAGCCUUAGACAGGUUACUCACUGAAGCCAAGCAUGGCUGAGUCUGGUCAGUGCCUGGACGGGAGACCACAUGGGAAAACGAAGUUGCUGUUGAA
rnacentral:rRNA from 1 species